AGCAGCCGCGGUAAUUCCAGCUCCAAUAGCGUAUAUUAAAGUUGUUGCAGUUAAAAAGCUCGUAGUUGAACUUCGGGGUCUACCCAUUGGUCAGGCUUAAUUGUCUGCACUGGUGAGAUGGAUCUCUACCUUCUGAGGAACUUUCAUGCCAUUUAUUUGGUGUGAUGGGAAAUCAGGACUGUUACUUUGAAAAAUUAGAGUGUUUAAAGCAGACUAUCGUCUGAAUACAUUAGCAAGGAAUAAUGAAAUAGGACAUCCGAUUCUAUUUUGUGGUUUCUAGGAUCGAUGUAAUGAUUAAUAGGGAUAGUUGGGGGCAUUAGUAUUCAAUUGUCAGAGGUGAAAUUCUUGGAUUUAUUGAAGACUAACUACUGCGAAAGCAUUUGCCAAGGAUGUUUUCAUUAAUCAAGAACGAAAGUUAGGGGAUCGAAGACGAUCAGAUACCGUCGUAGUCUUAACCAUAAACUAUGCCGACUAGGGAUCGGAUGAUGUUAAUUUUUAAUGUA
rnacentral:rRNA from 1 species